CGGGGGGUAGCGCAGUCCGGAUAGCGCGCUUGGUUCGGGAUCAAGAGACCGCGGGUUCAAAUCCCGCCUCCCCGACCA
rnacentral:tRNA from 1 species